GAUGAACGCUGGCGGCGUGCCUAAUACAUGCGAGUCGAGCGAACAGACGAGGAGCUUGCUCCUCUGACGUUAGCGGCGGACGGGUGAGUAACACGUGGAUAACCUACCUAUAAGACUGGGAUAACUUCGGGAAACCGGAGCUAAUACCGGAUAAUAUAUUGAACCGCAUGGUUCAAUAGUGAAAGACGGUUUUGCUGUCACUUAUAGAUGGAUCCGCGCCGCAUUAGCUAGUUGGUAAGGUAACGGCUUACCAAGGCAACGAUGCGUAGCCGACCUGAGAGGGUGAUCGGCCACACUGGAACUGAGACACGGUCCAGACUCCUACGGGAGGCAGCAAUAGGGAAUCUUCCGCAAUGGGCGAAAGCCUGACGGAGCAACGCCGCGUGAGUGAUGAAGGUCUUCGGAUCGUAAAACUCUGUUAUUAGGGAAGAACAAAUGUGUAAGUAACUAUGCACGUCUUGACGGUACCUAAUCAGAAAGCCACGGCUAACUACGUG
rnacentral:rRNA from 1 species